UACGUAGGGUGCAAGCGUUGUCCGGAAUUAUUGGGCGUAAAGAGCUUGUAGGCGGUUUGUCGCGUCUGCUGUGAAAUUUCGGGGCUCAACCCCGAACUUGCAGUGGGUACGGGCAGACUAGAGUGUGGUAGGGGAGACUGGAAUUCCUGGUGUAGCGGUGAAAUGCGUAGAGAUCAUGAGGAAGACCAGUGGCGAAGGCGGGUCUCUGGACAGUUCCUGACACUGAGGCAACGAAGGCCAGGGGAGCAAACGGG
rnacentral:rRNA from 1 species